rnacentral:rRNA from 1 species
UACGUAGGUGGCGAGCGUUAUCCGGAAUGAUUGGGCGUAAAGGGUGCGUAGGCGGCCUGUCAAGUCAGCGGUAAAAUUGAGAGGCUCAACCUCUUCCCGCCGUUGAAACUGGUGGUCUUGAGUGGAUGAGAAGUACGCGGAAUGCGUGGUGUAGCGGUGAAAUGCAUAGAUAUCACGCAGAACUCCGAUUGCGAAGGCAGCGUACCGGCAUCCAACUGACGCUGAGGCACGAAAGCGUGGGGAUCAAACAGG